CUCCUCUCAGGGUGGCACCUGGAGAGUUUCCAGUCCUCUACCAGUCUCGGCUACGGGAGGCAGAGCCAAGCAGAGGCCUAGCCGUUCCAUUCCCAGCUUGGCCAGUGGCUAGCGAGCGGAAGGCAAUCUGCUACAAGU